AACAAAAACAAAAACAAGCAACAGAUUGACUGAUAGUAAACUGUUGCAGCGGGCUAUAUGCAUUUUCAAUUCCAUACAUUUCACAUCGAAUUAAUAAUUCAAUUGUACUAAAGCAGUAUACGAAUACAAUUGUCUCACGAGCCUCGUAAUCAUGUUUCUGCAGUAAUUUUCUGUCAUCUACCUACUUUGCUGCGUCUGCUGGAUGACAAAAGAAUUUACAGCCAUCUGCAUUACCUUUACAGUACUUUACUAUGGGCCACUCUGGACUCCAAGUUGUCCAUCUGCAGCUGAAGACGUUUCAGGGGCAGACGCUUAGGGCAGUGGACGAUGAAGAUCUCACAAGAUGGCUUUCUCAGCUUCGUUCACGAGCUCUGGUCUGGAGAUACAUGGGAUUAAAAAUAAAAGAACUCAUUAUGAACCGUUGAAAAAUGUUGACGAUGGAACAUACCACUGCUCACACAAAUAAGGAGGAUAUAAAACGUUGGUGAGAAGGGUUUAAGAAAUGCAGUUUGAUAUUUGGUGCUGCAGAAACAAUUAAUACAUACAUUACGCAAUUAUUUUGUUCUUUACAUAUGGCUACAAUAAGAAAUAUUGCAGCCAUGUAUUCCUUGGAUAAUGCUACAGCACAUAUAAAGCCUAAACCCUUAACUAUGUGGUCAGCAAGAAAUAAUAUGCAAGGGUGACAUGGAUUUAUUCAAGAGAGGAAAUGUAAAACAACACAAGAAGCAUAAAGCAUAUUCACCCGCAUUAAAAGUAAUCAAACAGAGUAAUUAGCUAUAUUUAAAUAUCUCCCCAAGCAGCUAUGGCAAUUAGGAAAAGUGAAACAACGUAUUUGUUUUUUUAGCGUUCAGUAAGUACAUUUGCAUAAGAACAGUUUAUCUCAGUAAAUAAAAAAAGAAACACACAGCGCGGGAAUCCAUCAAAUCAAGCGAUCCACUAGGGGGGUUGAUACCAGACUCAAAUGAAUAAUGAUGAUACACUUUGAAGUUCUUCUAAGUGAACUUCCGUGUCUAAUUAGGAGAACAAAAUCAAAGCAAAAAAAUUGUAGCGUCAAUAGCUACGUACUAUAUGUAGUGUAUGUGUACAAACGAAACUAGCACUAGGAGAGACAAUUGCAACACCUUGAACAUACACUAUACGAAUAAGCGGACAGUAAUCAAUGAGUUGAAAUGACAUUAAUAUAAACAGGACAUUAGCAUUAGCAGGAAUCUAUUAACGUUUCAGUCUACUUAGCUGCUCAAACUGACGGGUUAAAAAUUCAUGUGUGAUGCAGUUUUAACUGAUUUUUGUUAUUGUACUGAGCUCCUUUAAACCAUAAAUACAUGCUACAUAUUUGA